rnacentral:lncRNA from 1 species
GGGCGUCGUGGGCUUUAUCAUAAUGUUUUUUUGAACCUAAUACAAUCAAAGGAACAUGCUUGCUAAAAUUUAUAAUUUUUACAGAAAUUAAUUUUAAUAUGCUAAAAGAGGUCCAGCAAAUCUUCGUUCGUGAAUGGAUGAGAAAUGGAUACGAUAGUAUGACACUCACAAACUCAAAAAUAAAAAUUAAUAAAAAUAUUGUUACGG